rnacentral:piRNA from 1 species
ACUCUGAGGCAUGAGAAAGAAGAGGUCCU